UACGUAGGUGGCAAGCGUUGUCCGGAAUUAUUGGGCGUAAAGCGCGCGCAGGCGGUCCUUUAAGUCUGAUGUGAAAUCUCGCGGCUCAACCGCGAGCGGUCAUUGGAAACUGGGGGACUUGAGUGCAGAAGAGGAAAGUGGAAUUCCAGGUGUAGCGGUGAAAUGCGUAGAUAUCUGGAGGAACACCGGUGGCGAAGGCGGCAUCCUGGACCGAUACUGACGCUGAGGAGCGAAAGCCAGGGGACCAAACGGG
rnacentral:rRNA from 1 species